CGACUCUGUCUUUAUUGUAAUGGAGUAGUAUCGCAAGGUAUCAUUAGAAGUUAAAUUAGCUUAUGAAUGUAGGUUUGAGUAAAAAUUUAGAUUGAAAUUCAUAGGAGCACAGUUUGAUUUUUAAUGGGGUUCCAGUUCAUUUACUUUGAGUAAAUUAGAGUGUUCAAAAGCAGCCUCUUGGGGCAUUGAAUAUUAUUAGCAUGGGAUAAUAAAAUAGGAUUUUCUCUUAUAUUUUAUUGGUAGUAUAUUUAAGUUGAAAUAAUGAUUAAUAGGGGAUAGUUGGGGGCACUUGUAUUCAAUAGUCAGAGGUGAAAUUCUAGGAUUUAUUGAAGACAAACUUCAGCGAAAGCAUUUGCCAAGGAUGUUUUCAUUAAUCAAGAACGAAAGUUAGGGGAUCGAAGACGAUUAGACACCGUCGUAGUCUUAACUAUAAACUAUGCCGACCAGGGAUAUGAGGUAGAAAUUAUUAUAUAAACAUAUUAAAAGUAUGUUUAUUCCUUGUGGACCUUGUGAGAAAUCAUAAGUUUUUGGGUUCUGGGGGG
rnacentral:rRNA from 1 species